rnacentral:tRNA from 1 species
GGCCGAGUGGCCUAAUGGAUAAGGCGUCACCCUCCGAUUCUAGACGAUGCAGGUGAAGAUUGCGGGUUCGAGUCCCGCCUUGGUCG